UACGUAGGGUGCGAGCGUUGUCCGGAAUUAUUGGGCGUAAAGAGCUCGUAGGCGGUUCGGCAAGUCGGAUGUGAAAUCUCCACGCUCAACGUGGAGGGGCCAUUCGAAACUGCCGUGACUCGAGUCCGGUAGGGGAGUGUGGAAUUCCGGUGUAGCGGUGAAAUGCGCAGAUAUCAGGAGGAACACCGGUGGCGAAGGCGGGUCUCUGGGCG
rnacentral:rRNA from 1 species